CUGCUGCCUCCCGUAGGAGUCUGGUCCGUGUCUCAGUACCAGUGUGGGGGACCUUCCUCUCAGAACCCCUACGCAUCGUCGCCUCGGUGGGCCGUUACCCCGCCGACUAGCUAAUGCGCCGCAUGCCCAUCCGUAGCCGGAAUCGCUUCCUUUAAUCCCUCAGGAAUGCCCCCGAAAGAUAUUACGCGGUAUUAGACGGAAUUUCUUCCGCUUAUCCCCCUGCUACGGGCAGGUCGCAUACGUGUUACUCACCCGUGCGCCGGUCGCCGUCCGG
rnacentral:rRNA from 1 species